UACGGAGGGUGCGAGCGUUGUCCGGAAUCACUGGGCGUAAAGGGCGCGUAGGCGGCGCGGGAAGUCAUCGGUGAAAGUUCAGGGCUCAACUCUGAAUCGGCCGGUGAUACUCUCGUGCUUGAGCACUGUAGAGGCAGGUGGAAUUCCGGGUGUAGCGGUGGAAUGCGUAGAGAUCCGGAAGAACACCGGUGGCGAAGGCGGCCUGCUGGGCAGUAGCUGACGCUGAUGCGCGACAGCGUGGGGAGCAACAGGAUUAGAUGACCCCAGUACAGUCCGAC
rnacentral:rRNA from 1 species